rnacentral:misc_RNA from 1 species
UCCACCUGGCAGACCUUUUCAGGUGUUUGGUUAGGCUUGUAUUGCCUGUCCAUACUGUUGGUUUCUGUGUUGCCUACCUAAGCUAUGGUAUUGUCAUGGUUGAUCAUAGUUGUUUUCGUUUUGUGUCAUUUUAUGGCAUCAGACGAACCAUGAAGCUGCCUCUUUGAUCCACAUUGUUGACGCAUGCGUUUAUGUUGUGGCCCAUUGAGUGACGCUUGGUAUCUUGGAUAUGGAAAACCAUGUGGGCAUGGGGUCUCAUGGGAUCCUGGUUCUGCCCUCUUUAGCGUUUGCGCCCCUCUUAAAAUGACUGCGUUUCCCGAAUUGGCUCGUACCACCGGGAGGGUAUGUCAAAGAUUGGCGCAUAUCCUUGAAUGACUUGCCUGUCCCGCAUUGGCUUGUUCCAGCGGUCAGGUUAUGUCAAUGAGGAAUGCUACCUGGUUGAUCCUGCCAGUAGUCAUAUGCUUGUCUCAU